rnacentral:rRNA from 1 species
UACGUAUGGUGCAAGCGUUAUCCGGAUUUACUGGGUGUAAAGGGAGCGCAGGCGGCGCGUUAAGUCUGAUGUGAAAACCCGCGGCUCAACUGCGGGACUGCAUUGGAAACUGGCGGGCUUGAGUGCCGGAGAGGCAAGCGGAAUUCCUAGUGUAGCGGUGAAAUGCGUAGAUAUUAGGAGGAACACCAGUGGCGAAGGCGGCUUGCUGGACGGUAACUGACGACUGAGGCUCGGAAAGCGUGGGGAGCAAACAGG